CAUCCCGGUGGGAGCGGGAGGUGGGAUGGCGGCGAUUGCCGGCGCUGGUGACCGGGCUGGAGCCGAGCUGCCGGACGCCUGCGCCGGCGCGGACAGCGGGAACGUGUCCCAGAGCCAAAGCAGAGCCUCCGGCCUCGGGGAGGCGGAGGACGAAGAUGCCUCGGAGGCGUCGCUCAGCGCCACCGCCGCCGCCUACUCCGCGUACCUGCUCGCCGACCGCAGCCUCUUCAGCGAGCAGAUAGAAAGCUUAGACAAGAGUCUAGAAGACUUACUGACCAGGGUGGAUGAAUUCGUAGGAAUGCUGGAUAUGAUUCGAAGUGAUUCCUCUCAAGUUGUCAAUGAAAGUAUACCUCAAAUAUACACAAAAGCUACAGAAAUGAGGCAGAUAUAUAGGAAGAUUGACAAACUAGAGGCUUUUGUGAAAAUGAUUGGGAAUAGCGUAGCUGGACUGGAAGAACGGGUCAUAAAGGCAGAAACAGACCUUGGAGCUUUUCCAAGCACGUUCAAGAAAAUCUUGCACACAAUCAGCAUGCCAUCCUUCCUUAAUAUUUUGCCUAAAGUUCUUCCCUUGUGAAUACCAGUCAGUGCAAAGAACAGUACUAUAAGGCUUCUAAUAUCGCUAAGAAUGUAGACUCUCAAAAGAAAUCGUCUUCCUCACGACAGCAGCAGACCCUCUAUGAACCUCCAGUCCUCUUCAAGACUGAAGACUAUUUUCCAUGUCCUAAUGAAGCACCUUAUUGAUGAUUUUUGCUUUGGGAUUGAUAUGAAUCAGCCAGAAUAGAGAGAGCCAAGUGAACAAAAGGAAUGCCAACCUCAGAACAGCUGCAUUUUCUAAGCACUAUUGAUGGCAUAUUGCCAUUCUUAUCCUCAUUGUCUUCCUUCAGGCAAUAUUUUCAGGUAAUCUUUCUUUGUGCACAUAAUUUCAAAAGCCUUCCUAAAACACCAUGUAAAUUUUCAGAUCAUUUUAGGGAAGGAAUUUAAGAAUAUUUUUGCAUUACAUUUUUUUUAAUACGGAAAUAAUAGGAAACAUACUAUUGUAUAUAAGUUUUUUAACACAUAAAUAUCUGUGCUGCUGCAAGUGUAAAAUAGCUAUAUCACAACGAUGAGGGUUUGUCUUUUUUCAUAAUGUGCUGAUUGAGGUGAAAGAAAAACUAUGCAUAAGGUUUCACAUCUAUUCCAAGGUUUUAAGCCUGUUCCCUGCAGUUUGUCCAGAGAAAUGCACCUUAUUGGGGUGUACUUGUUGCAGGGGCAGGACAUAGAAGAUCACCAAGGAAUCAAGGGCAUGGCUCAAUCUAUGUGGUGUAGUCCCAGUUCACAAAGCAAACAUCCUGCUCCUGAUGAUCUUCAGGUCACAGUGAACCAAGCUUUUCAUUAUUGCAUCAUUGUGUUGUUUGAUGUGUAACCAGGUGGGCAUUAAAUAAAUUUGUAUAUAUAUAUAGAGAGAGAGAGAUAUAGAUGUAUCAAACCUGCUGUCAAAAAGAACAAGUAUCUAAGCUGGAGAGGGAUGACCCUGGACUGAACCUCAAUCAGGCACCUGACCAGAUUGCUUUUCCUUCACAACUCUCUGUGGAUACUGAGGCUUCCCAUGCUUAUUGCAAUUUAUAUUAUCAAUAAACUAAUAGCUGGCUAA